rnacentral:rRNA from 1 species
GUUCGAUCAUAGCUCCGUUGAACGCCUGGCGGGAUGCUUUACACAUACCGUCGAACAUGUAGCACGGACUUCGGUCUGGUGGCAGUGGCGAACGGGUGAGCAAUGUCGGAACGUGCCUGGCGGGGGAUAACUGCAUGGCAGCAGCAGCUACCGCAUCACGCUAUCGAGGGAAAGCAGGGGACCUUCGGGCUCGCACUAUUAGAAGCGAUAUCGGAUUAGCUAGUUGGUGCGGUAACACGGCUCACCAAGGCGACGAUCCGUAGCGGCACUGGUUUGAGGAAAGGACGGCCAGCCACACUGGGACACGAGACGGCCCCGGGCUCACCGGGAGGCAGCGAGGCAGAAUUUUGGACAAUAAACCUGAUCCAGCCAUCCCGCGUGUGCGUUGACCUUCGGGUUGCUUAAACACUUUUGGCGGGAAAGAAACGGCACAGGAUGGCACGUGCAACUGACGUACCUGCAGACAAAGCACCGACAACUGCAUUGCCAGCAGCCGCGGUAAUACGCCGGUGCAAGCGUUAAUCGGAAUUACUGGGCGUAAAGCGCGUGCAUGAGCGGUUCAGAAGAAAAGAUGCUGAAAUCCCGAGCUUAACUUUGGAACUGCAUUUUUAACUACCGAGCUACUGGCGAGUCUGUCACGGAGGAGGUGCACGAUUCGCGUGUCGCGGUAAAUGCGUAGAUAUGGAGAGACACCGAUGGCGAAGGCGGCCUUCUGGGAUAACACUGACGCUCGCCUGCCUGGCAAUGAGGCAAACUAAGUUAGAUACCCUGAUAGUCCGCGCCUAAACGAUGUCAACUAACUAUUGGGGCCUUCAGGCCUUGGUAGCGCAAUAACGCUGAAGUUGACCGCCUGGGAGUAGGUCGCAAGAUUAAAACUCAAAGGAAUUGGCCAGGGACCCGCCACAAGCAGUGGAUGAUGUGGAUUAAUUCAAUCACAACGCGAAAAACCUUACCUACCCUUGACAUGUCUGGAAUCCCGAAGAGAUUUGGGAGCACUCGCAAGGAGCCGGAACACAGGUGCUGCAUGGCUGUCGUCAGCUCGUGUCGUGAGAUGUUGGGUUAAGUCCCGCAACAGGCAUGACCCUUGCCAUUGAAUUUGCUGAAAGGGCACUCAAUAGGACUGCCGGUGACAAACCGGAGGAAAGGUAGAGGAUGACGUCAAGUCCUCCUUGGCAUAUGGUGGGAGCUACGUCAUACAAUGGUCGAGUUAGAGGGUCGCCAGCCCGCGAGGAAGACCAAUCCCAGAAAGCCGAUCGUGGUCGGAUCGCAGUCUGCAACUCUGACUGCGUGAAGUCGGAAUCGCACAAACCAAUCUCGCGGAUCAGCAUGUCGCGGUGAAUACGUUCCCGGGUCUUGUACACCGCCCGUCACCAGCAUGGGAAUUGGGUUUUACCCAAGUAGUUAGCCUAUUCAGCAAGGAGGGCGAUUACCGGUAGGAUUCAUGGCUGGGUGGUCGUAUCAAAGGUGG